CCAGACUCCUACGGGAGGCAGCAGUGAGGAAUAUUGGUCAAUGGCCGGAAGGCUGAACCAGCCAAGCCGCGUGAAGGACGAAGGUGCCAAGCAUUGUAAACUUCUUUUGUCAAGGGACAAAAUCAGGCUCGAGAGCCUGACCGAGGGUACUUGAAGAAAAAGCAUCGGCUAACUCCGUGCCAGCAGCCGCGGUAAUACGGAGGAUGCGAGCGUUAUCCGGAUUUAUUGGGUUUAAAGGGUGCGUAGGUGGUUAAUUAAGUCAGCGGUGAAAGUUUGUGGCUCAACCAUAAAAUUGCCGUUGAAACUGGUUGACUUGAGUAUAUUUGAGGUAGGCGGAAUGCGUGGUGUAGCGGUGAAAUGCAUAGAUAUCACGCAGAACUCCGAUUGCGAAGGCAGCAUACCGGCGCGCAACUGACGCUCAUGCACGAAAGCGUGGGUAUCGAACAGGAUUAGAUACCCCCGUA
rnacentral:rRNA from 1 species